CAAAAUCAGUUCUUUGUAACAAGCAAAAUAUCAUAAAGACGGUUUGUUUGUUCGUGAUAUUGAAGAAUAUUCACAAAGAAGUUGUUGCAUCCUCGAAAAAGUUAUGGCAACCAAGAAGUUUUCAUGUCUUAUGUUACUUUCAUUGAUGAUGUUUGCUUUCUUCAUCAUGUUGCCUGUGAUAUUAGGACAAAGCCACAAUCAAUGUUUUGAUAGGGCAUAUCCAUGUCACGAGGAUUCAUGCAGAAAGAGCUGUAUCUUGCGAGGUUAUAAAUCAGGAGGUUGUCUAAAACUUGCUUUUCAAAUUGCUUGUUGUUGCUGGUAGCAAACCGGUUUAGAAUCUCAUGUAUUUCUCAAUGAUA